ACUGCACAAGGACCGCUGCUGAUCCGUGCUGUGCGAAGCCAACGGCGCUGUUCCUGCCGCCGUUAGCGCCGUCGGGGUUUCGGCCAUCACCGUCGUUGAGGGAACUCACCGGAGUCGUUGGAGGUUGUCACCGCUCUUUGUGGUUCUGUGUUGAGUUGUGCCGGUAAGCCUUUGCGGCCGGAAAAUGCCCUUGCUGCCGUCGCCGGAAAACUCUGCCGUUAUCGUGAUCAGAAUUCGUCGCCGCUGCCGCUUGAGGUGGCUGCCGGGCUGCCGCCAAACCGGUUCGGAGACUGCCGCUGCUUCGGUUCAGCCGUUCCUUUUUCGGUUCGAGUUAUUGAGAUUAUG